UGCGUGAGUUCCAAAUAUUUCUAACGGUCGCCCCAGCGUGAGUUUUUUUAUGCACGUGAUGUUAGAACGUUCUCUCCAUUCCAGAAUGUGAUUGUUAUGUAACAGUACAUUUAACCUGCGCUGCCCUCAAACCAAAGCACGCAGCCUGUUUUAUUUGUCAAUUUUAAAUUAUUUUCUAACAAGUUUUUUAUUUUCUAAUAACAGUUUGAAAUGAUGUGUGUUUCGCCUUAUUCAUUCACAUAAAAGUAGUCAUUUUUACUUUUGCGGACCAAUUAAUUUUUGGGACAUUUCUGACCCGGACAAAAUUCCCCAAACACUUCUCAAUUGUUUGUGCAGGACAUUUACUCAUCUGCCGUCCUGCAUACACGUGUUCAUAUUUUCCACCUGUCGCCUGCAUCGAAAUCAAAGUUGUUUUCGUUACCAAUAAUACCUUUGGUAAUGUGUGCGUUUCUAUCAAAGUGCCUUAAUACGUUAUAAUAGUUUCUGCAUGUCGUGUUAUGUCGUUUCUACUGUAACGUCAUGUUUUUAUGUACAUUCCUUAUAACCGCGGACAGGCGAUGUAACGUUACUCAUUUCAUAACAUUUAUGGUGUUAUACUCAAUGCUUAGGUAUCUAGCUACAUUCUCCUAUUAGCUCUGGAAAACAAUGCUAAUUUCGUCAGGGAAGUAUUAGCAUGUGUUGUAUUUCGAAGCUACCCUGGCCUUAUGACUCCCAAGUGGCACAGCGUCUCAGCGCUAGAAGCGUCACUACAGAGACCCAUCUUCAAAUCAAGACUGCGUUUCUAUCAAAGUGGUCCACCUUCCCUGUGGCCAACAUGGUUGCUGUAUGGACAGUGGAGAGGACUUGGACGUCUCGUUUGUCAUGCCACUUUACUGCCAGCUGUUAACAUUUCUUAUUUUGUAUAACGGGUCAUUUAGGAUGGUAGUAGCGUUGAUGAAAUGCAGUCAUAGCAGCAGAACUAGAAAGCAGUCUUUACUGUCACCAGGAAUGUGUACAUUUCACAAAUUGUGGUUGUCCCCCACUCCUGGCUCUCUCUUCUCCUGUAGCUCCAAGGCAUAGUGAUUGGUCUCUACUAUGUCUCCCACCAGCUCCUCUGUCAGAAACAACUUGAAGCACUCUGCCUCAGUUGGAAAUGGCAAGGGGCGUUGCACUCCAGACUGGGACUCAUCAACACAAUCAGCAGGGCCAGGAGGGAUGAAAUGGCUGGCAGCCUUCCAGCUACCACAGAACUGUACUUCAUCCACUGUCAGUCUGCCACCAUCACCACCAGCAUCUUCAAAGGGACCUGGGACUUCGUCAGUGGACAAGGGAAAUUCAGAUUCAGGGUUCUCAGUGGCUACAAGGUUGGGGGGCAGCUCCUCACUCAGUCAGAAUCUGAUUCCUGACUUUCAUACUCUGACUCAUUGUCAGAAUUUUUAAAAAAUCUCCAUAAUUUCCACAUUUGUUUGUUGUCUCCUUUUGAAAGAUUGCUAAUGCUUCAGCUUAGCUCACUAGCUACAUACAUAAACAACAACACUGAAUGGUUUACAGUGAGAGGGUACGUGGUUGACUGCCGGCACGCGCCACUUGUAUCAAUAAAUCCCUAUCAGAAAA